rnacentral:lncRNA from 1 species
GGGUCUCCACGACGCAUCUACAUUCAACUUCAGGUUUUGCCCUUCCGGAGGCCUCCAGUGCGCGGGUGAGUUUUGAUUGAGAGCUCGCUCGCCUUUUGUCGAUCUACCCGUGCUGAGCGUGUACUGUUGUUCCUUUGCUAUUAACAGCAGAUCUGCUGGUUGGGGUUCCUUUGCUCGGAAGAUCCGGUUGUUUCUCGCCUUCCAGAUGUUCCACAGGAUCAGACUAAUGAGUUCACGAGCGGGUAAGUUCUGAUCUCUUCGGAAAGCUGUUAGAAGCCACUGAUCCGUGCGAUUGAUGCUGUUGUUUGGCC